rnacentral:tRNA from 1 species
GCUGUUUUAAUUGAUAAAAUAACGCAUUCGUAAUGCGUGGGUCGGGUGUUCGAGUCACCUUACCAGCACCA